UACGGAGGGUGCAAGCAUUGAUCGGAAUUACUGGGCGUAAAGGGCGCGUAGGCGGCCCAAAAAGUCAGGUGUGAAAUUCCGGGGCUCAACCCCGGAGCUGCAUUUGAAACUUUUGGACUAGAGUUCAGUUAGGGUAAACGGAAUUCCACGUGUAGCGGUGAAAUGCGUAGAUAUGUGGAAGAACACCAGUGGUGAAGACGGUUUACUGGGCUGAUACUGACGCUGAGGCGCGAAAGCAUGGGGAGCAAACAGG
rnacentral:rRNA from 1 species